UUUAUUUUUUCAUCCAUGUUUUCAAUUCUUCUCUGUCUUUGUGAAAAUUAAAUUAACUCGACUAUUAAUUUUUAAUUUUACUAUAUGAUUUUGUAUUAUUAAACACUUUUACUUGCUACUCAUUUAAUUGCAAUUUCAUAUUUAUCCUCAUGUUUUUAAGCUUAGUCUAACAUUUUGUACAUUAAUACAGUUUGCAAUACAUCUUAAGGUUGGUUAAGAUGAUUCACUUUAUGCUGCUUUUCAGUCGACAAGGUAAAUUGCGUCUACAAUCAUGGUAUGUACCUGGUGCCGAUAAAAACAAGAAAAAGAUUACUCGUGAAUUAAUGACCAUUACCUUGAACCGAAAAGUGAAACACUGUUGUUUCUUCGAUUGGAAGGAUUUAAAGAUUGUUUACAAACGCUAUGCUAGUCUCUACUUUCUUUGUGCCAUUGAACCAGAAGACAAUGAGCUGCUUACCCUGGAGUUGAUUCACCGCUAUGUUGAGUUGUUGGACAAGUACUUUGGCUCGGUUUGUGAACUGGACAUAAUAUUCAAUUUUGAAAAGGCUUAUUUCAUUCUGAAUGAGUUUGUAUUGGGUGGUGAAGUACAAGAAACUAGUAAAAAAUCUGUCCUCAAAGCUGUUGCUAGUCAAGAUGUUAUUGCUGAAGAAGAAACCUCAUCUCAUGGUUUCUUCGAGGAACAUGGACUAGGCUGAUCCAUUUUAUGAUUAGACACGAUUCACUUUUCUUAAGGAAGCCUGAAGACAAUGAAAAUUUUUGCUCAUAACAAUCAGAAAAUAUGCAUCUUAAUACUUAAUUGAUUGUGUAUAAUAGUCAAGAUUGCUUUCAUUCCACAAUCUAUUGUAACUCAAAGCUAUAAUAUAAGAAAUAAUAAAUUCUUUAUGAAAAUU